rnacentral:hammerhead_ribozyme from 1 species
AUUUAGCUGAUGAGUCUGAAAUAGGAAGAAACGCGCGUCCAGGAU